rnacentral:ncRNA from 2 species
UGUUAUUGUCACCUCGCCAGUCGAACUCAGCGCGAGCUGAGUCAGGGAACCCGGUGAGAAUCCGGGACUGACGCGCAGCGGUGAGGGUGACGGGCGGAGCACGAAGCCACUGGGUGCGAACCUGGGAAGGCGCUCCGUCCGGGUGAUCCCGAGUCCGAAGACCUGCUGGCCGUGGACCUCGUGU